UACGUAGGGCGCAAGCGUGUCCGGAAUUAUUGGGCGUAAAGAGCUCGUAGGCGGCUUGUCACGUCGAUUGUGAAAGCCCGAGGCUUAACCUCGGGUCUGCAGUCGAUACGGGCUAGCUAGAGUGUGGUAGGGGAGAUCGGAAUUCCUGGUGUAGCGGUGAAAUGCGCAGAUAUCAGGAGGAACACCGGUGGCGAAGGCGGAUCUCUGGGCCAUUACUGACGCUGAGGAGCGAAAGCGUGGGGAGCGAACAGG
rnacentral:rRNA from 1 species